GACGAACGCUGGCGGCGUGCUUAACACAUGCAAGUCGAACGGUGAAGCGCCUUCCUUUUUGGUGGGUGUGGAUGAGUGGCGAACGGGUGAGUAACACGUGAGUAACCUGCCCCCUUCUUCUGGAUAACCGCAUGAAAGUGUGGCUAAUACGGGAUAUUCUGGGUCUGUCGCAUGAUGGGUCUGGGAAAGAUAUUGUUUCGGUGGGGGAUGGGCUCGCGGCCUAUCAGCUUGUUGGUGGGGUGAUGGCCUACCAAGGCGGUGACGGGUAGCCGGCCUGAGAGGGUGGACGGUCACACUGGGACUGAGACACGGCCCAGACUCCUACGAGAGGCAGCAGUGGGGAAUAUUGCACAAUGGGCGCAAGCCUGAUGCAGCGACGCCGCGUGAGGGAUGGAGGCCUGCGGGUUGUGAACCUCUUUCGCCAGUGAAGCAGGCCUGCCUCGUUUGUGGGUGGGUUGACGGUAGCUGGAUAAGAAGCGCCGGCUAACUACGUG
rnacentral:rRNA from 1 species